rnacentral:rRNA from 1 species
AUGCAGCCAUCCACUCCUCCCUCCUCCUCCCCCUCCCCCUCCCACAGCCGCCGCACCCAUCGAUUGGCCCCCUGGCGACCCCCGGGUCGGCCUCGAAAGAAGGUCCGGGCCUACGAGGGAAAGCAGCGAGGGUUGGUGCAGCGGCAAAUGCGGGUGGGAUCUGCCGUGGAGGGAGGCUCGUCAAGCCGGAACAACAGGAGCAAGGAGGUCGUGCAGGCGCGAAUGCUGGCGGGGUCGGCCGUGGAAGAAGUCUCGCUGGACGGAGCAUCAAGAGCAGGGAAGUCGAGGUGGUUCAGGUUUGCCUCUAUCUCCUCCCCACUCUAUCUCUGCCCUCUCUCUUAUUUUCCCCUUUGUCUCGUGGAUAAGGGCGUUAGUGCACCACGAGGAGUAGAUCGAGCGUGGACCAUAGCUGCAGGAUCAAGGAGAUGUUGGUGGUUCUGGCAACAAGGAGCUGCUGGUGGUUCUGGCAACAAGGAGGAUGAUCAAGAAGGAUUGGGGAACACCAGCAAAAAAAGUACCGGGGGAGACGGGCGGGACGAAGGCAUGGAGAUAGUUGUUUGGUGCCAACGUGCGUUUGGUGUUGAUUGCUGGCUGGCCGACUACGGUGUGCUACCGGCGAUGAGAUCCAGGAGGAGGUGGCGGCUGACAGGGAGACGAGAACCUUUUUGCUUGCAUUCUCGUGUCUUUUGGCAAGGAGAAAAUUAUCAUUUGGAGGGGAAAAGACAGAUGAAAACAUGCAUGAUAGUAUAUGCAAUUGACAUACCCUUCAGUUCUUGA